rnacentral:tRNA from 1 species
GGCCCCGUGGUGAGCACACGCCGAGAUGCAAGCUCGGAGACGCACCCUAAAGGGUGCCGGGGCUU